UGCUUAUACAGAAAAUGAACUUUCAUCAAAGA
rnacentral:piRNA from 1 species